ACCUGUUCGCGGCGCAGACGUACGGCGUGCUGUACCCGGCCGACCGGCUCAAGGUGGACGUCAACCCGUCGGGCGUGGUGAUGGUGCGCUGCGGCGCCGUCGCCGGCCGCGGCUUCGGCCGGCCGCCGGCGCAGCGGCUGACGCCCGGCCGCCGGCUGCCGCUCGCCCCGGACGCUUCUUCUGAGGGACUGCCAUUGUCGGAGACAUAACGGAUGAGAUUCGUCGGUUGUAAGGGCGGCCGGGGAGCGGGCCGUGCCGCCGACCAUGCUGUGCUUUGUGCCUUGCCGACCGGCCGGGUGAGACGCGGGCGACCUCGCCAGAGACGGCCCGCCGUGGUGGCCAGCGUCGUCUGAGGCCCCGACGCCGGGCUGGCCGGACGUCGGCUCAGCGCUCUGCUACGGGGCCCGUCGGCCAGAACGGGCGCAGUUUCUGCUCCUGGGUCAGCCAGGCCAGAGCCGGGUCGAGGGGAGGGGGUAGUCGCUCUGGUGGUCCAUCGAGAUCACCAGCUUGAUUGUACGUAGCUAGCGAAGGAUUAUCAUGCUUCUCAUCCGCAUGUAUUGUCUAGGUGUGCUCUGCCGUUGCUCUGUCGUUUGACGUUGGCGCGUAUGACUGACGCCAGUCCACCUCCAAGAUGGUGCGCUUUGAUUGCGUUUUACGGCCCGAUUUGAGUUCACCACGAGCGGUAAAUUUCCAGAUG